UACAGAGGUCUCAAGCGUUGUUCGGAAUUACUGGGCGUAAAGGGUGCGCAGGCCGCGCGGGCAGUCAAAUGUGUAAUCCAGGGGCUCAACCCCUGAACUGCGCUUGAUACUUCCGCGCUCGAGCUCUGGAGAGGAGUCUGGAAUUCUCGGUGUAGCAGUGAAAUGCGUGGAUAUCGAGAAGAACACUUAGGGCGUAGGCAAGACUCUGGACAAAUGCUGACGCUCAUGCACGAAGGCUAGGGUAGCGAACGGG
rnacentral:rRNA from 1 species